GAUGAACGCUGGCGGCGUGCCUAAUACAUGCAAGUCGAGCGAACGGACGAGAAGCUUGCGUCUCUGGUGUUAGCGGCGGACGGGUGAGUAACACGUGGAUAACCUACCUAUAAGACUGGGAUAACUUCGGGAAACCGGAGCUAAUACCAGAUGAUAUUUUGAACCGCAUGGUUCAAAAGUGAAAGACGGUCUUGCUGUCACUUAGAGAUGGAUCCGCGCUGCAUUAGCUAGUUGGUAAGGUAACGGCUUACCAAGGCAACGAUGCAUAGCCGACCUGAGAGGGUGAUCGGCCACACUGGAACUGAGACACGGUCCAGACUCCUACGGGAGGCAGCAGUAGGGAAUCUUCCGCAAUGGGCGAAAGCCUGCCGGAGCAACACCGCGUGAGUGAUGAAGGUCUUCGGAUCGUAAAGCUCUGUUAUUAGGAAAGAACAUAUGUGUAUGAAACUGUGCACAUCUUGACGGUACCUAAACAGAAAGCCACGGCUAACUACGUG
rnacentral:rRNA from 1 species